rnacentral:tRNA from 2 species
GGAUGUAGCUUAGUGGUAGAGCACUUGCCUAGCAUGUGCAAGACCCUGGGUUCAGACCCCAGUACAACCA